CAACUGUUAAAAUAAACACUAUACUCGAUAUUUUAGACAAUUAAAAUUGUGCUCGGCAUCCCUCAUCAUCAAUUGUCAUGUGAAGUCAUUUCUUUUUCAAGAUUUACUUGUUUAUAAUAAGAAUCCUUUUAAAUUUUGAUUUUUCUACCAUUCCGUCCAAAUGCUGUUAUGUCUUGCAUCACCAUUUGGUUUUCCCGCAGUUUGAUGCUUGGUUUAAAAGAUGUUCCUGAGUGUUAACAGGUCAUCCCAAUCCAGUUCUCAAUUUGUAUAGCUAAAUUUUCCAUCAUUUUCUUUGCUGAACCCACUUGCUGCUAACAAGGAUGUUUAAAGAUGCACACGGCAGUGAUGGCACUCAUUGUGCUUACCAAAGGGGCAUGCAGACCAACAUUUUAAUACCACAGUUUUUUGUAUACAAUCAAUUGUCGAUACCAAAUUACAUGAUUCAAUGGUAAAAUAAAAUUAUCUGUAACUGUAUUCUUGUGCUAUUGCUCCAAGUGGUACAUUCGGUAAACAUAUUCAGCC